GACGGAGGGGGCAAGCGUUGUCCGGACUCACUGGGCGUAAAGGGUGCGCAGGCGGUUCUGUGCGUCGGCGCUGAAAGUGCCCGGCUCAACCGGGUGAGGCGCGCCGAUACGAUGGAACUUGAGGCUCGGAGAGGGUGGUGGAACUCCUGGUGUAGUGGUGAAAUGCGUAGAGAUUACAUGGAAUACCAAUUGCGAAGGCAGGUUACUACCAAUAUAUUGACGCUGAUGGACGAAAGCGUGGGGAGCGAACAGG
rnacentral:rRNA from 1 species